rnacentral:rRNA from 1 species
GCCUACGGGAGGCAGCAGUGAGGAAUCUUGCGCAAUGGGGGAAACCCUGACGCAGCAACGCCGCGUGAGUGAGGAAGGUUUUCGAAUCGUAAAGCUCUGUCAGGUGGAAAGAAAUGUCUGUACGUUAAUAGCGUGCAGACUUGACGGUACCACCAGAGGAAGCACCGGCUAACUCCGUGCCAGCAGCCGCGGUAAUACGGGGGGUGCAAGCGUUGUUCGGAAUCAUUGGGCGUAAAGAGCGUGUAGGCGGCUUGAUAAGUCAGAUGUGAAAGCCCUGGGCUUAACCCAGGAAGUGCAUUUGAAACUGUCUGGCUAGAGUAAGGAAGAGGAAAGCGGAAUUCCUGGUGUAGAGGUGAAAUUCGUAGAUAUCAGGAGGAACACCGGUGGCGAAGGCGGCUUUCUGGUCCUAUACUGACGCUGAGACGCGAGAGCGUGGGUAGCAAACAGGAUUAGAUACCCCAGUAGUCC